ACAGGUUCAAGUGAUCUUCCCACCUCAGCUGCCCAAGUAGCUGGGACUAUAAGCGAAGACCACCACACUUGGCUUUUUUUUUUUCAGUAGAGAUGGGGUUUCACUAUGUUUCCCAGGCUUGUCUCCAACUCACAAGUUCAAGCAAUCUGCCCAUCUUGGCCUCCAAAAGUGCUGAGAUUUACAGAUAACAAAAUCCUGGCAAAGAGAUGCCAAGUAACUUUUCCAAGAUCAAUGAUCUAGUAACUGGCAGAGCUGGGUGCAAACCAAAGUGGUUUGACUUUGGAACUAAUAUAUGAAAUAUAAAUCAUCUUUUAAGUGGAGUGGCCCAAGAACACUUUAUAUAUGACCUGUAGAAAAACACUCAACUCUUUCCUGAAAAACAGUACCAAGCUGAAGCCUGAAGAGGGAGUGAAUAAAUGGAAAAGUAUUUUUUUCUUAGGUAAGAAGACUAAAUAUUGCACAUGUACACAAAUUAUUUUAUGUACCAUUUGUUACACACACAUUUUCAAUAGCAAUGACUGAGAAUACCCUGAUAUUCCAUCUGUAAAGGGACAGUAUAAAUAAAUGUGGUAUAUUCAUA
rnacentral:lncRNA from 1 species